rnacentral:rRNA from 1 species
AUGACCUUUCCCAAGUCAGUCAGAGGCUGGCAGUCGACCUGGUUCUACUGCCAGGACCAGUCGACGCCGGGGCAGUCGAGUGGACUCCCUCAGUUUACCAUGGACCGAGUGAACAAGCCCUCCUCUCUGAAGUUGAUUCCGGAGGAGAAAGCUGACGUGAAGAUGUUGAUGGAGCGCGUGGUGCAGUUGGUUCGGGAGGGAGUGACGGGCAUGGAUCUCCUGGAGGUCUUCCUUAGGCGUCGCAUCCAGCCCCUUCAGUUCCGGAGCCACUGCAUGUGGUUGUACUGUGGGACUGAAGACGAGACUCGAGUCCAUCCAGAAGCAGUCGACGAUGUCACUCUGGAAAGAUGGAUGGCAGCCGUUACCGGAAACAAGGAUAACCCACGCGGAGCCAGAAGGAUUCCUCCACUCGACCACAACAGCGAUCCAAACAAGGCCCUCACCGAGCUGUACUCGAUGCCCAAUGGGGCACAAGCUCCGACUGAGGAGGGUGAGGCGAGUGGGGGCGAGAGCCAGGAAGAGGAGGAAUGGGACUCGGACGUUGCUGAGGAUGAUGAUGACGAUGAUGAUGAUGACGGUGAUGAAGAUGACGUUGAAGACGAGGAAGAAGAGGAGGAGGAGGUCAUACCACCGCGCUCAGAAAGGCGGUCGAAGCUUGUCCACGACCCUUCGACUGAACGUGGUAAGGGGGUUGCGACCGCUGCUCAGUCGACCAAACGCCCUCGGACCACCUCUCCAGUGCCGACUGAAAAGGCGCCGAAGCAGCCCAGGGCGGCCCCGUCGAAGCCAAUCAAGCUCCUGCCGAAGAUGAAGGUGUCCAUCCCCACCAUAUCAGGUGCUGCUACUUCUGAGACCUCAGCCCGGGCUGAUGACCAUGAGAUGGAGGACGCAGCAACUUCAAAACCAGCUCCACCCAAUGCUGUUAUCAAUCUCCCUGAUGAUGAUGAGGAUGAGGAACCGCUGAAGCGCAGAAGGAGUAGGAAAGCGUCCGCCAGCAAGGUGCCCCAGGAUGUGACGGCGCCUGAGAUUCUUAUUGCGGAGGAAGAGAACACCACUCGACACACAGUGUCCUUCGCAGAUCCAUUGACGAGUGCUCAGCAGCCCUCCCUCUUCACGACGCACCACGUCCCAGAGGACCAAGCUGGCGCGGCGAAGGAGGCGAUACGCCAAGCGGGAAUCAUGAUGGAGCAGUUGAAGACCAUCCGGGAUGCGAGCCAGGCAGCUUAUGACGCCAGUUCUGCCCUCCAAAGCAAUGUUCAGAACUCCUGUGAUCUUGUGGCUCGCUACUCUGAGCUGGAAAACAAGCACACUCACCUCGAGCUGAGCUUGAAGCUGGUUCAGGAGAAGCUGACGAAGGCAAAGGAGGAGACCUAA